rnacentral:lncRNA from 1 species
UCAUUUAAAACCUAGACAUAAAAUUUCAUCAAAUUUUAAACUUUUCAAACAUAUUCAAGCUGUCCCUUAAAAAACUUACAAGGCCCAUAUCAUGCUUUAAAACCUUUAUAUAUCGAUCAAUAGUUUGAUAGUCUGAUUUAACCUCCGGCGACCUCCAACUCGAGCUAACAUCUGCAGCACUAUAGGAAAAAGGAAAGGAAGGGAGUAAGCAUUAUAGCUUAGUAAGUAAAUAUGUAAAUAUUAAUAAACAAUACAUUAUCAUACAUUAAACAAAGUCACAAUAUGUUCCCGGAAUAUUACCAUCACAAAUGCACAUACUUUCACUAUUACAAUUAUAAACAGAUUCAAAAUAAGUUGUCUAGCAGAGUACCAGUAGCUAAAUUAUUUAUUUCAGGAGCUACAGAACUCCAAAUUACAAACCAUAAAUUUUCCUUGAAACUAGAUUCAUGUAUAUUCUUUCCAUAAAAUUUUCAGAAUUUUUGGUCUAGCCAAUUAGUACAGUUUAUUCAUUGAAGUUAUCCCUGUUUCACUGCUCAACUGCCCUGACCACUCUUCACUACAAAUAAAUUUUCUCUUCUUAUAGAACUCAUAUGAUGUUAUCGUUUUUAUUUGAAAAUAGACUCAUUAAGGAUUUCAAACGUAUAAAUUAUAUCCCAUAAUUAUUUGUUUACAAUUUUUAAUGAUUUUUCAAAAUCAGAACAGGGGAUCACGUAGUCAUUCUGAACAAGUCUCAUAGAAACUUAAAUAUCUCAGAAUAUAGAAUUCCUUUGCUUGCUCUGUUUCUGUUAUAUGAAAAUAGACUCAUUAAGCUUUAAUUUUAUAUCUCAUUCAGUCUCUGAUUCAAUUUCUACUAUUUUUGGUAAAUUUUUAGAUUCUCGUCACUACAACUAUCCAGAACAAUUUUAUUGUCAAUUUUGAUCUUUCACACUUCAAUUGUAUUCAUCACUUACCCAUUACAAUCUUUCCAAUUUCCAAUCACAUAUCGAGCAUAUUGCUCAUAAGUUACACACGUAUAUACUUACACUUAUCAUCACAAAGUCAUACACAAUUUCAUUUAAUCAAUUUCUCAGUUGAACGCUUCGGAAUAAUAAUAGAUACGCGAUGGUAUCGCACACAGCCCACCUUUAAAAUUGAAGCUCUCUUGUACACAUAGUGGCCUUCACUUAGCACCACUCAUGUGACCUAGCUCGAUUGUACACAUAAUUCUGGCUCUCUUGUACACAUGGUGAACACUUAGUACCACCCAUGUGACCUAGCCACUUUAUCUCGUAGCUCUCUUGUUUACAUGGUGUCCUUCACUUGGAACCACACAUACAACCUAGCUACAUUUAUCUCGUAGCUCUCUUGUCUACAUGGUGUACACAUAGUAUCACCCAUGUGACCUAGCUACCUCAUAAUGUCUCGUAGCUCUCUUGUACACAUGGUAUACAUCCCGUGUGUCACAUGUGACCUAGCUACAUACCAUCUGUAUCUUUCGAUUCCGAAGGUUCAAACAGGAAGUAUCUCACUUUCUAAUACUUUAUUCCAUUCUUCUAAUAGUCAAUUAUGAUUCAAAAAUCAGCUACAAUACAUAAAAUAUGCUGAAAUAUAAAAACGUAAUAAAGAUAAUGUAUUAUUUACAUACAAGCUUACAUACUUUCUCAUUUCCAUGUCGAAUUAAUAUUGAACAUUUAAAUCAUCAUAAUUAUACUUACUUUCAACACCUCGGCAAUCAUAGUAAAUAUAUCAAUUUUACAUUGAAACAUGCAUAAAUUAAUGCUUAUUAUACAUAUGAACUUACCUCGAUACUAAAACGGCCAUUUUACCAACUUUCUCGAUUUUUUAUUUUUCUCCCAUUCUAGGUUCAAAUCUCAUUUUCCAGGAUCUAAAACAUUAUAUUUUACUUAUUUAAUUAAUGUACUAUUCAAAAUAGUCCUUAACUCAAACUUUUACAAAAUUACAAUUUUGCCCCGAAACUUUUGCAUAUGUACACUUUUGCCCCUAGGCUCGAGAAUUAAAAUUCAUCCCUUAUUCUUAUGUUUUAUGACAUGCUGAUCAUUUUCCCCUUCUAUGGAAACAUCAAAUUCUCACUCUAACACAUAGUUAUGAACAAUAACAACUUUUACCGAUUAAGCCGUUUUACUCAUUUUUGCUUAAAACCGCUUAGCAAAAGUUGUUUAACAUAAUUUCAGCCUUCAUAUUCUACCAUAAAACAUAAAAAUAAACACAUUUCACCUAUGGGUAUUUUUCCAAAUAUGAACCCUAACUUAAAUUAUUGCUAGAAUAAGCUUAAUCAAGUUACCGGGAUUCCAAAAACGUAAAGAACUUGAAAAACGGGGCUAGAACGGACUUACUAUUAAGCUUGGAAAGCUUGAAAACCCUAGCCAUGGCUUCCCCCAUGCUAAUUUCAGCCUCCGUGAGAAAUAUGAGUCAAUUUUGGCUUUAUUUUUCCUUUUUAUUUCUUUUAAUUACCAAAUGAUUAAAAUGCCCUUAAGGCCUUUCUUUAAAUUUUUGUCCUAUUCAUGCCCAUUUUUGUCUAAACGAAAUAUAAUGGUCUAAUUUUCAUUUAAGGACAUCCUCUUUAAAACCCCAUUUUAAUCAAGUACUUAUGAAUUAGAACACAUAUUUUGCAACUUUUGCAAUUUAGUCCUAAAAGUCCAAGUAAGCACUUUAUCAGUAAAAUUUCUUAACGAUAUUUUUACACAAUAUUUUAAUCAAUAAAUAAACCUUAAAAUUUAAUCGAAAUAAAUUUUUUGACUUCGAAUUCGUGGUUCUAAAACCAUCAUUCCGUUUAGGCCCUAAAUCGAGCUAUUACAGCAACUUCUGCAAAUAAGCCCUAAUAGGCAAAUUAAACAUGCAAUCUAUAAAAUUUCUUAUUAAUACUCUAAAACAUGCAUCUAAUCACUCGGUAAAUCAUAAAAAUUAAUCGAAAUGAACUUUUCUAUCUCAUAUUUGUGGUUUUGCAACCACUAUUCCAUUUAAGCCCUAUUUCGAAAUGUUACAUUUCUCCCCCCUUUAGGGAUUUUCGUCCCCAAAAAUCUUACCGGUAAAAAGAUACAAUAUCUUUUCUGAAAAUUUCUUAAACAUCUCCAAACAAAUUUUCUUCAAAGCAGUACUUUCAAAAUCACCCCACUAUCAAAUUGAAAUACAAUAUAACUAAGUUUCAACUCUGUAUGACCUCUAUAUUAAUCGAAAACUAUUUUCAAUUCUCACAUUUGCUUUCACUUUUUUUUUAACCAAAAACUCUGCAUUCAGCUAUUAAUACAGCUCAAUCAUUAUUCUUUUAUCUAAUUCUAUCAUUACUAAAUCCAAAUUAUCUCAUUCACAAUCAAAAUUUUUUUAAAAAAAAUCCAGCAAUCAUAUACUUUAAGCAUCAUACCUGGAUGAGUUAAUUAACUAAGUCUAAUCUUUCUUUAACUGUAACAUUUCAGAAUUUAGAAAAUCUUCAUAUUAACCUGACAUCUUUUCUGCAACUAAGUUCAUUUAUUAAACCAUUCUCAAAUGCUAUCACAUUGUCAAUUAAUCUUACUGGAAGGGGGUGAGGCUGUAACACUUCUAACUUGCCUCUUAUAUAUAUUCAUGCAUAUAACUUAACACUCAUCAAUAUAUAUAUAUAAUUUGCUUCAAAUAACUCAACAUGCAUAUUCAUUUUACACAACCCUCCUGUCAUCUUAUACAAACAAAUACACUUAUACAUAUGUUCAUAAUUCUCAAAUAGAAUUACUCAUAACAUUCAUUUAAUUUCACAAGUUACACUCAUAGCAUCACACAAUUGCCAAUCAACAUGAACACUUAUCAUAAUAUAAACUUUCCCUUCAUCUCAUCUUUCAUAUUCCAAGAGAAAUUCUUAUUCACGACUCAUUCAUUAUCACAUAAACAUCAUGAACUAAUACUCUUACCUUUUAAGAGUCUCAUUUCAUCUUAAUAUUAUCACAGUUAUCUAAUUCACUUUAGACAGGCUUACACACAUAUUCAUAUCUUAAAACAAAUGCACUCAAACAUACAUUCCACGAAUUUGAGUAAAUUUAUUUAUCACAUUCACUUAGUCAAAAUAAGUUAGACACAUAAUAUCAUAUCAAUGUCAAACGAACAUGGAUGAGUUUAUAACGAUGUAAACUUUCGUUUCUUUUCACUUUUCUAUAUUUCUCCACUUAUGUCUAUUUCAUUUUACGCUUGAUCUCACAUAUAUCAUCACAAGUCACCAAGAUCAAUUUUUAAGUACACCAAUAUAUCCACCAAAUUAUAUGAACUUACUUAACCCCUUUUUACACUGUCGAUGGUAGCUCGGUUGGAAAACACUUCUGUCUCAACAGAACUAUUUCAUCGGGAUCGGGAGGCAUCACACUAUCACAGGUAGUAAUAUGGCAUGUAUAGCUUAACUCUUACACAUACUAUAUUAGUCUGAGAACCGACUAAACCAUAGCUCUGAUACCACUAAAUGUAACUCCCCUUACCCGUAUCCGACGCCGGAACAGGGUACGAGGUAUUACUAGACUUGAGUACUUGUAAUCAUUUAAAACCGAGACAUAAAAUUUCAUCAAAUUUUAAACUUUUCAAACAUAUUCAAGCUGUCCCUUAAAAAAAACUUACAAGGCUCAUAUCAUGCUUUAAAACCUUUAUAUAUCGACCAAUAGUUUGAUAAUGUGAUUUAACCUCCGGCGACUUCCAACUCGAGCUAACAUCUGCGGCACUAUAGGAAAAAGGAAACGAAGGGAGUAAGCAUUAUAGCUUAGUAAGUAAAUAUGUAAAUAUUAAUAAACAAUACAUUAUUAUACAUUAAACAAAGUCACAAUAUGUUCCCGGAAUAUUACCAUCACAAACACACAUACUUUCACUAUUACAAUUAUAAACACGUUCAAAAUAAGCUGUCUAGCAGAGUAUCAGCAGCUAAAUUAUUUAUUUCUGGAGCUACAGAACUCCAAAUUACAAACCGUAAAUUUUUAUUGAAACUAGAUUCAUGUAUAUUCUUACCAUAAAAUUUUUAGAAUUUUUGGUCUAGCCAAUUAGUACAGUUUAUUCAUUGAAGUUACCCCUAUUUCACUGCUCAACUGCCCUGACCACUCUUCACUACAAAUGGAUUUUAUCUUCUUAUAGAACUCAUAUGAUGUUAUCGUUUUUUUAUUUGAAAAUAGACUCAUUAAGGAUUUCAAACAUAUAAAUUAUAUCUCAUAGUUAUUUAUGUACAAUUUUUAAUGAUUUUUAAAAAUCAGAACAGGGGAUCACGUAGUUAUUCUGACCAGUCUCAUAGAAACUUAAAUAUCUCAGAAUAUAGAAUUCCUUUGCUUGCUAUGUUUCUUUUAUAUGAAAAUAGACUCAUUAAUCUUUAAUUUGAUAUCUCAUUCAAUCUUUGAUUCAAUUUAUACUAUUUUUUGUAAAUUUUUAGAUUCUCGUCACUGCAACUAUCCAGAACAGUUUUAUUGUCAAUUUUGAUCUUUCACACUUCAAUUGUAUUCAUCACUUACCCAUAACAAUCUUUCAAAUUUCCAAUCACAUAUCGAGCAUAUUGCUCAUAAGUUGCACACGUAUAUACUUACACUUAUCAUCACAAAGUCAUACACAAUUUCAUUUAAUCAAUUUCUCAGUUGAACGCUUUGGAAUAAUAACAGAUACACAAUGGUAUCGCACACAUCCCACCUUUAAAAUCGAAGCUCUCUUGCACACAUAAUUUCCUUCACUUAGCACCACUCAUGUGACCUAGCUUGAUUGUACACAUAAUUUUGGCUCUCUUGUACACAUGGUGAACACUUAGUACCACCCAUGUGACCUAGCCACUUUAUCUCGUAGCUUUCUUGUUUACAUGGUGUCCUUCACUUGGAACCACACAUGCAGCCUAGCUACAUUUAUCUCGUAGCUCUCUUGUCUACAUGGUGUACACAUAGUAUCACCCAUGCAACCUAGCUACCUCAUAAUGUCUCGUAGCUCUCUUGUACACAUGGUAUACAUCCCGUAUUACACAUGUGACCUAGCUACAUACCAUUUGUAUCAUUAGAUUCCAUAGGUUCAAACGGGAAGUAUCUCACUUUCUAAUACUUUAUUUCAUUCUUCUAAUAGUCAAUUAUGAUUCAAAAAUCAGCUACAAUACAUAAAAUAUGCUAAAAUAUAAAAAUGUAAUAAAGAUAAUGUAUUAUUUACAUACAAACUUACAUACUUUCUCAUUUCCAUGUCGAAUUAAUAUUAAACAUUUAAAUCAUCAUAAUUAUACUUACUUUCAACACCUCGGCAAUCAUAGUAAAUAUAUCAAUUUUACAUUGAAACAUGCAUAAAUUAAUGCUUAUUAUACAUAUGAACUUACCUCGAUACUAAAACGGCCAUUUUACCAACUUUCCCGAUUUUCGAUUUUUCUUCCAUUCUAGGUUCAAAUCUCGUUUUCCAGAAUCUAAAACAUCAUAUUUUACUUAUUUAAUUAAUGUACUAUUCAAAACAGUCCUUAACUCAAACUUUUUCAAAAUUAUAAUUUUGCCCCUAAACUUUUGCAUAUUUACACUUUUGCCCCUAGGCUCGGGAAUUAAACUUCAUCCCUUAUUCUUAUGUUUUAUAACAUGCUGGUCAUUUUUCCCUUCUAUGGAAACAUCAAAUUCUCACUCUAACACAUAGUUAUGAAAAAUAACAACUUUUACCAAUUAAGCCGUUUUACUCAUUUUUGCUUAAAACCGCUUAGCAAAAGUUGUUUAACAUAAUUUCAACCUUCAUAUUCUAUCAUAAAACAUCAAAAUAAACACAUUUCACCUAUGGGUAUUUUUUCCAAAUAUGAACCCUAGCUUAAAUUAUUGCUAGAAUAAGCUUAAUCAAGUUAUCGGGAUUCCAAAAACGUAAAGAACUUGAAAAACGGGGCUAGAACGGACUUACUAUUGAGCUUAGAAAGCUUAGAAAGCUUGAAAACCCUAGCCAUGGCUUUCCCCAUGCUAAUUUCGGCCUCCAUGAAAAAUAUGAGUAAAUUUUGGCUUUAUUUUCCCUUUUUAUUUCUUUUGGCCUUUCUUUAAAAUUUUGUCCUAUUCAUGCCCAUUUUUGUCCAAAUGAAAUAUAAUGGUCUAAUUACCAUUUAAGGACAUCCUCUUUAAAACCCCAUUUCAAUCAAGUACUUAUGAAUUAGAACACAUAUUUUGCAACUUUUGCAAUUUAAUCCUAAAAGUCCAAUUAAGCACUUUAUCAAUAAAAUUUCUUAACGAUAUUUUUACACAAUAUUUUAAUCAAUAAAUAAACCUUAAAACUUAAUCAGAAUAAAUUUUUUGACUUUGAAUUCGUGGUUCUAAAACCAUCGUUCCGUUUAGGCCCUAAAUCGGGCUAAUAUAGCAACUUCUGCAAAUAAGCCCUAAUAGGCAAAUUAAACAUGCAAUCUAUAAAAUUUCUUAUCAAUACUCUAACACGUGCAUCUAAUCACUCGAUAAAUCAUAAAAAUUAAUCGAAAUAAACUUUUCUAUCUCAGAUUUGUGGUUUCGCAACCACUACUCCAUUUAGGCCCUGUUUCGAGAUGUUACAACAAACGCUUAUAAUUGUGGCAUUAGAGAUGACGUAGGAUUCCUUCUCGAUUCUCUGCCCAAGGAUGACUCCUCCAUUGUGAUCAGUUGCAUCAUACAUGAUCUCGAAGGGAUAAUCCCAAUUCGGUGGCUACACUAUGAGAGUUGAAACAAGCUUAUGCUUGAGAGUAUUGAAUGUGUCCUUGCACGCUUGAUCAAAUUUGACCCCUGUCUUUUUACAAGAGAUUACAAAGCAGUUGUGAAAUCUUCGAAAAAUCCUUAAUAAAACGUGUAACACCCCGAACCCGAAACCGACACCGGAGUCGAACACGAGGUGUUAACUGACUUUAACCCCUUAUAAAAUUUAUUUUCCAGACACUGCCAAAUCUGUGUACUAGUCGUUUUAAAAAUCAUAUCUUGAGUUUCGUAACUUGAAAAUCAGUUUCGUAAUUUUUCCCAGAAACUAGACUCAUGUUCCCAUCUAUGUAUUUUUUUCUAGAAUUUUUGGUCGGGCCAAUUAGUACAGUUUAUUAGUCAAAUUCUCCCAUGUUGCAGGGGUCGACUACACUGACCUUUGCCCAUUACGACUUAGAUAUCUCCCUGCACAGGGCUUCAAUACUGAUGCCGUUUGUUUCUAUGAAAACUAGACUCAGAGACGAAUCUAUACAUAUAUGGUACGACCCCUAAUUAUCUCUGGUUAAUUUAUAAUGAAUUUCAAAAGUCGGAGCAGGGAAUCCAGAAACCGUUCUGGCCCUGUCCCACAAAAAUCUGAUUAUCUCUUAAUAUACUGCCCAUAUGAUCUUUUCGUUACUUCCUCAUGAAAACAGACUCAUCGAGCUUCGAUUACAUAAUUUAUUCAUCAAUUAAUUCCACUCCUACUAUUUUUAGUGAUUUUUCAAUCUCAUGACACUGCUGCUGCCAGCAUCUGUUACGAAAGUAACUAGGUCCAUUUCAUGCCUACCCUUGAUCCAACUCAAUCGAACAUUCGUGCCAUUUUCGCAUGGCUUAAAGUUUACAUGCCAAAGUUCAAACACAACGUAAUAGCUUAUACAUGCCAAAAUGUUCUUCUAAGCCAACUAAGAAGAAAGUACCAAAACUUGCUAUCCGGUGUGAUGACUUCGAUGACGGCCCGAUCACGCAAAAAGAGAUGUGUCCAAGAAACCUAGAAUAGGUGACAAGGAAACACCGAGUGAGUUUAUAACUUAGUAAGUCAUAAGCUAUGCACUACCAUCCAUCCAUAACAUUAUCACAAGAGAAAACAAAAUGGAACGAGGCUAAUUACUCCAUCCAUUCCGAACCAUACCAUAGUUCCUCCAACCUAUCGAUUCAAUUUCAUAUCAAUUCAUGCAUUCACAUUCCAUAUACUCAUCAAUAGGACAUUGAAGCAUUUUCAUAAAUCAAUUUAUUUUCGUUACAAUCAAACGACUAAACGGCCUUUCACCCAUCCUACGAUAAAUUUUAUGUACGUGACUUCAAGUAUGGUUGUCACAUAGGUUCAAACUUACCGAGCUCAACACCAAGUAUAAGCAUAGCACCUAUUAGCCAUGUACUCAAGACACUUACCCGAUCCGCUGUCCGCGAUCGACUCAAUAGUGUCGCACACAUAGUGUCCAUAAUGAUUCACGAAUGCAUAUUGAGUCCGCACACUCAGUGCUAUAUAAUCAACUCGCACACUUAGUGCUACGUAAUCAAAUCGCACACUUAGUGCUACAUAGUCAAACUCGCACACUUAGUGCCGCAUGGUCAAUUCGCACACUUAGUGCAUCAUAUUCAUUUCGCACACUUAGUGCAACAUAGUCAAAUCGCACACUUAGUGUUGUACAAUUUAAUCCCGCGCACUUAGCCCCAAUCUCAUGGUCAUAAAUGGUUAUACCCGCACGUUUAGUGCCGAGAUCAACAACUCAGUACAUCUUACCUCUUUUCUUUUCAUUCAACAAUUUCAUCAUCACAUACGUACAUGCAUAUAUAUAUAUGUAUAUUUAUUCAUUCCAUUCAGCAUCAAUACAUAAACAUUAAGACCAUUUGAAAUAAUACCAACUACAUGCUUAAUGACUUACCUUGUGUUGGGUAAGACGGUUCCAACUCGACUACUCAGUGAUCUUUUCUUUGCCUUUAUCGGAUCUAGUUCCCUUUUGCUCUUGAGCUUAAGUUCGACAAAAUUUAAAAUAGUCAUUAAUCGACUAUUCAAGUAUUACUUUCAGAAUAAUAUAUAUAUUGAUUUGACCUUCACACACAUAGAUUAUAGUAAGCUUUAUAAUAGUCAAUAAAUAACUCAUUGGCAAAUUUUCAUUAAUGUUUACAACAAAAUCACAUAUUCACUACGAGUUGUUUUCCUGAGCAGUAGUCGCUAAAUUGUUUAUAACUGGAGCUACAAAACUCCAAAUCACUAGCCGUUAAUUUUCCCUGAAUAUAGACUCGUAUAUCUUCCAUCCAUAAAAUUUUCAGAAUUUUUGGCUUGGCCAAUCAAUACCAGAUUUUUCUUAAAGUUUCCCCUGUUUCACUGUUUGACUAUUCUGACCACUCUUCACUACGAAUCAAAUUUCUCAUUUUACAGAAUUCAAAAUGUGUUGUAUUUGAUCUCAUUUGAAACUAGACUCAUUAAGGAGUCUAAGCAUAUAAAUUUUAUCUUAUAAUCAUUUUUGUACAAUUUAUAAUGAUUUCCUAAAAACAAAACAGGGAAUCUAGUAGUCAUUUUGACUCAGCCCCACAAUACUUCAAAUAUCUCAAGAUCGGUAACUCUUUUGUUUUUAUAGUUUCUUUUAUAAGAAAAUAGGCUCUUCAAGCUUUAAUGGCAUAAUUCACUCAGCUUCUAAUUCAACUCCUACAAAUUAUGGCGAUUUUCCAAAAUCACCUUACUGCUGCUGUCCCCAAACAGAUUAUUACCAAAUCAAAUACUAACAUUAGCAUUUCACCUUAAUAGCUAGCUUACCAAGCCUUAAUUUAACAUAUUAAUCUUUAACAUAUCUUUCACUUUUCAUCAACAACUAUCAAAAAGCUCAAGCACUCAUCAAUGGCAAAACACAAAAUCAUCAUCAAUCCACAAAAUUGAACCAUGGGUUUUUAGAACUCAAGUCAACUACUAAAACAUGCAUGCAUCUCAAGAACAACAUCAAACAUACCUUAGUCUAGCAAACCACCAUAGCCGAUUUUCUCAAGCUCUUCCCCUUCCUUUCUUUCCUCUAUUCGGCCAAAGGUGUUCAAGAAUGAACACAUUUUUUUUUGUUUUCUUUCCUCAACUCACGGCAACAAGAGGGGGUAUGGAUGAGACCAUUUUUUUUUCAUCACCCUUCCUUUUCAUUGUUUAAUUACCAUGCUCUUUAUUUUAUUUUUCUUAGCAUACAUCACUAGCAUAACAUGUUGGUGACAUGUUUCCACCCAUAGCAUGGCCAGCCACUAUGCUUUAAUUUGGCUAAUUUGACAUGCAAGGACAAACACUUUCCCACAUAUAUUAAUGGGCCACUUGAACACUUGCCUAGCAUAUUUCUAAAUUGUCUCACAUAAGUCCCUACUAAUAAAUUUCACAUACACUGACCAAAUUAAAGUACGGAACUAUCACACAAGCAUUUACGCACAUCAUAAACACAGAAUAUAAUCUUUAAUUAUUUAUAAGACUCGGUUUUGUGGUCCCGAAACCACUUCCCGACUAGGGUCAAUUUUGGGCUGUCACAACUCUCCCCCACUUAAGAAAUUUUCGUCCCCGAAAAUCUUACCGGUAAAUAGGUUUGGAUAUCGUUCUUUCAUCGAGCUCUCGGUUUCCCAAGUAGCUUCCUCGAUCCCGUGUUUGAGCCAUAACACCUUUACUAGCGGAACUCUUUUGUUUCGUAACUCCUUCACUUCACGAGCUAGGAUACGCAUCGGUUCUUCUUCAUAACUCAUAUCGGCUUGAAUUUCAACCUCUGAUGGGCUAAUUAUGUGCGAUGGAUCAGAUCUAUAGCGUCGAAGCAUCGAAACAGGAAAGACGUCAUGGAUCUUUUCAAGCUCAGGGGGCAAAAUCAAUCUAUACGCAACUGGCCCCACUCGUUCGGAGAUUUCGUACGGCCCAAUGAAUCUCGGGCUCAACUUGCCCUUACGGCCAAACCUAAGUACCUUUUUCCAAGGCGAAACUUUAAGAAACACUUUAUCUCCCACCUGAUAUUCAAUGUCUUUUCGUUUUAAAUCCGCAUACGAUUUCUGACGAUCUGUGGCUGCUUUCAGACUUUCACGGAUUACCUUUACUUUCUGUUCGGCAUCUUUAAUCAAAUCAACUCCGAAAAUUUUACUUUCACCGAGCUCGGUCCAAAACAAUGGUGUACGGCAUUUACGACCGUACAAAGCCUCGUAAGGUGCCAUCUUAAUACUUGAUUGAAAACUAUUGUUGUAAGCGAAUUCAAUCAAAGGUACAUACCGUUCCCAUGAACCACUAAACUCAAGGAUGCAGCAUCUCAGCAUAUCCUCGAGUAUCUGAAUUAUCCGCUCGGAUUGACCAUCGGUUUGGGGAUGAAAAGCGGUGCUAAAAUGCAGCUUGGUACCCAAAGCUUCUUACAAUUUCUUCCAAAAUCGCGAGGUGAAUCUCGGAUCUCUAUCCGACACGAUAGAAAUAGGUACUCCAUGUAACCUCACAAUCUGAGAAACAUACAAUUCGCCUAGUUUAUCCAAUGAAAAAUCCGUACGCACGGGGAUAAAGUGAGCCGACUUAGUCAGCCUAUCAACAACAAUCCAAAUCGCAUCCUUCUUACUUGCGGACAAUGGCAGUCCGGACACAAAGUCCAUUGUGACUCGGUCCCAUUUCCACUCGGGUAUCAUGAUCGGCUGAAGUAACCCUGAAGGCACUUGAUGUUCCGCUUUCACUUGUUGACAUAUUAAACAUCUCGAAACAAAGUCGGAGAUGUCUCGUUUCAUACCAUGCCACCAAAACUGACGUUUCAAGUCGUUGUACAUUUUCGUACUCCCCGGGUGAAUUGACAUUCGGCUACAAUGGGCUUCGUUCAGAAUCAUCGGAAUGAGUUCCGAAUUCCUUGGAACACACAAACGACUUCUAAACCUCAAACAACCAUCAUCAUCAAUCUGAAACUCCGAUCCCUUGUUCGGAACACACUCAGCUCGUUUUGCAACCAAUUCAUCAUCGACUUCCUGAGCUUCAAGAAUUUGAUGAGUCAAUAAUGGUUUGGCUUUUAAUUCAGCUACUAACACAUUGUCAGAUAGAACAGACAAGUGUACAUUCAUCGCUUGCAAAGCAAACAGUGAUUUCCGGCUUAAGGCGUCCGCAACCACAUUAGCCUUUCCCGGGUGGUAAUCAAUGACAAGCUCGUAAUCUUUCAACAACUCAAGCCAACGUCUUUGUCGCAGAUUCAAGUCUCGUUGAGUCAUCAAAUAUUUGAGACUUUUGUGAUCCGAAAACACAUGGCACUUCUCACCAAACAAAUAAUGUCGCCAUAUUUUCAAUGCAAACACAAUGGCGGCUAGUUCGAGAUCAUGGGUCGGAUAAUUUCUCUCGUGUGGCUUUAAUUGUCUUGACGCAUAGGCCACAACUCGACCUUCUUGCAUCAAUACGCAACCCAACCCAACCCAAGUAGGGAUGCGUCACUAUAAAUGACAAACUCUUUACCCGAUUCGGGUUGCACCAAAAUUGGAGCUUCAGUCAAAUGAGUUUUCAGUUGAUCGAAGCUUUUCUGACAUUUCUCCGUCCAUUCGAACUUAACAUCCUUUUGAAGUAGCUUCGUCAUUGGUGUGGCUAUCAUCGAGAAACCUUUGACAAAUCGUCGGUAAUAACCGGCGAGCCCUAGAAAGCUCCGGACUUCGGUAACAUUUCUCGGAGGCUUCCAGUUAAGUAUGGCUGAAAUUUUGCUCGGGUCAACUUGAAUACCCGAUGCGGAUACCACAUGACCCAAGAAGCUAACCUCUCUUAACCAGAACUCACACUUACUGAACUUAGCAUAUAACUGCUUAUCCCGCAAAAUUUGCAACACUUGCCUCAGAUGCUCAGCAUGUUCGGUCUCAUCUCUUGAAUAGACCAAGAUGUCAUCAAUAAACACAACUACGAACCGAUCCAAAUACGGCCUGAAGAUCUGAUUCAUCAAAUCCAUAAACACCGCAGGGGCAUUAGUGAGCCCGAACGGCAUCACUAAGAACUCGUAGUGACCGUACCUCGUUCUGAAAGCAGUUUUGGGUACGUCCGAAUCUCGAAUCCGCAACUGAUAAUAACCCGAUCUCAAAUCUAUCUUUGAAAACACCGAUGCUCCCUUUAAUUGAUCGAACAGAUCAUCAAUACGCGGUAACGGAUACUUAUUCUUUAUCGUCACUUUAUUCAGUUAACGAUAGUCAAUGCACAACCUCAUGGUUCCGUCCUUCUUUUUCACGAACAAUACUGGUGCACCCCAAGGUGAGAAACUCGGUCGAGCGAAACCUCUAUCCGUCAAUUCUUGCAACUGAGCUUUCAACUCUUUUAACUCGGUUAGUGCCAUACGAUACGGAGCGAUCGAAAUUGGCGUAGUUCCAGGUACAAGCUCAAUACCAAACUCUACCUCCCGAACAGGUGGCAAACCCGGUAACUCUUCAGGAAAAACAUCCGGGUAUUCACAAACCACCGGCACCGAUUCGGGUUUCUUUUCUAACUCCUUGUCAUCAAGUACAUACGCGAGGUAUGGUUCGCACCCUUUCCUUACAUAUUUCUGGGUCAACAUUGCUGAUAUUACAGCUGGCAACCCCCUUAAGUCCGCAGACUCAACUCGGAUUAUUUCGUUAUUUGUGCACCUCAAAUCAAUAGUCUUGCUUUUGCAAUUCACAACCGCAUCAUGCGCGGUUAACCAAUCCAAACCAAGAAUAACAUCAAACUCGUCGAACGGCAAAAGCAUCAAAUCGGCCGGAAAACAGGAUUCUCGGAUUAUUAGAGGGCAUCUCUUACACACUUUAUCAACAAGUACGCAUUGACCCAAAGGGUUUGAUACUCGAAUUACGAGCUCAGUAGACUCAACAGGUAGAGUCUUACUGGUUACUAAGGUUUUGCAUACAUAUGAAUGAGUAGAACCAGGGUCAAUCAAUGCAAUCACAUUAGUAUCAAAGAGAGUGAAGGUACCAGUGAUGACGUCGGGGGAGGAUGCCUCCUCUCGUGCGCGAAUGGCAUAUGCUCUAGCAGGAGUACGGUUCUCGGCUCGAUCGGCCGUAUCAGAGGCCCCCCUCUGACUACCACCCCUGCCUUCUAAAAUUCUCGGUGGUCUACCUCUAGAUGUCACUCCACUAGGUCUUGCACCUUGAAUCUUAUUCUUCUCAUCCAGCUCCGUGCAAUCUCUAAUGAAGUGGUCCUUCGAACCGCAUCCGUAACAGGCCCUGCUAGUAGACUUGCCCCAACAUUCACCUAGGUGUCGUCUUCCACAUUGGGGACAUUCAGGUUUCUCGUGACGAUUAUUGCCCACACUAGCUACCGAAGUAGCUCGGGAGCCCAUCGAUGGUCUUGCCUUGAUGGAAAUUCCCGCAGUCGCCCUCGACUUAUUAAUGUCCUCCCUGAACUUCUUUACAGCUGAGAACGGAGCUUUACCCGUCGAUCUUUUACGAUAAUCUCUAACUUCAAAUUCAGCCUUCCUCUUCUCCUUUCCAAGUUCUUCCGCCUUGCAGGCUCGUUCGACUAGUGUUACGAAUUCUUUUAUUUCCAAAAUACCCAUUAGUAGCUUUAAAUCUUCAUUCAAUCCUUCCUCGAAUCUUUUGCACAUAGCAACCUCAUCAGCUACACACUCCCGGGCAUACCUACUGAGUCUUACGAAUUCAUGUUCGUAUUCAGAUACAGUCAUACGGCCUUGCUUGAGUUCCAAGAACUCCUUACGCUUCUGAUCAAUGAACCGUUGGCUAAUAAAUUACUUUCGGAAUUCCGUUUGAAAGAAGUCCCAAGUUACUCGCUCGUUCGGGACUAUGGAAAUCAAGGUCCUCCACCAAUAGUAGGCUGAGUCUCGCAACAAAGAUACAGCACAUUUUAGACAUUCGUCAGGUGUGCGUGACAAUUCAUCGAACACCCGAAUGGUGUUAUCAAGCCAGAACUCGGCCCUUUCGGCAUCAUCAGUUACUAUGGCCUUGAACUCCUCGGCCCCACGCUUCCUAAUCAAGUCUACAGGUGGCUUACUCAGCCUCACAGGAUCAGCGACUGAUGGCAUUACAGGCUCUUGGGGUGGAUUAUUCAAAUUUGGGAAUUGUUGGACAGCCGGGUUGGUUCGGGCAUAUUGCGCGACCCACUCAUUCAUCAUGGUAAAGAAGGCUUGUUUAGCCCCCUCACCUUGAUUAUUCGCAGAUGACUGAGGUUCAACAGGCGGCGUCCCUUGUGCAGGAGCAGCCGCUACGCUCUCAACGUCAUCCGCUAGGGUUCUUUCUACACCGGGAUCCAUUUACUAAUCAAAACAAAAACAUUUCAACCGUCAGAAGUCAUCACCCUUUUAAACAUUAACAUUAAGGCAUGUAUAGCUAGACUCAUACGUGCUAUGGUAGUCCUAGAACCGACUAAACCAUAGCUCCGAUACCAAUCAAAUGUAACACCCCGAACCCGAAACCGACACCGGAGUCGAACACGAGGUGUUAACUGACUUUAACCCCUUAUAAAAUUUAUUUUCCAGACACUGCCCAAUCUGUGUACUAGUCGUUUUAAAAAUCAUAUCUUGAGUUUCGUAACUUGAAAAUCAGUUUCGUCAUUUUUCCCAGAAACUAGACUCAUGUUCCCAUCUAUGUAUUUUUUUCUAGAAUUUUUGGUCGGGCCAAUUAGUACAGUUUAUUAGUCAAAGUCUCCCAUGUUGCAGGGGUCGACUACACUGACCUUUGCCCAUUACGACUUGGAUAUCUCCCUGCACGGGGCUUCAAUACUGAUGCCGUUUGUUUCUAUGAAAACUAGACUCAGAGAGGAAUCUAUACAUAUAUGGUACGACCCAUAAUUAUCUCUGGUUAAUUUAUAAUGAAUUUCAAAAGUCAGAGCAGGGAAUCCAGAAACCGUUCUGGCCCUGUCCCACAAAAAUCUGAUUAUCUCUUAAUAUACUGCCCAUAUGAUCUUUUCGUUACUUCCUCAUGAAAACAGACUCAUCGAGCUUCGAUUACAUAAUUUAUUCAUCAAUUAAUUCCACUCCUACUAUUUUUAGUGAUUUUUCAAUCUCAUGACACUGCUGCUGCCAGCAUCUGUUACGAAAGUAACUAGGUCCAUUUCAUGCCUACCCUUGAUCCAACUCAAUCGAACAUUCGUGCCAUUUUCGCAUGGCUUAAAGUUUACAUGCCAAAGUUCAAACACAACGUAAUAGCUUAUACAUGCCAAAAUGUUCUUCUAAGCCAACUAAGAAGAAAGUACCAAAACUUGCUAUCCGGUGUGAUGACUUCGAUGACGGCCCGAUCACGCAAAAAGAGAUGUGUCCAAGAAACCUAGAAUAGGUGACAAGGAAACACCGAGUGAGUUUAUAACUCAGUAAGUCAUAAGCUAUGCACUACCAUCCAUCCAUAACAUUAUCACAAGAGAAAACAAAAUGGAACGAGGCUAAUUACUCCAUCCAUUCCGAACCAUACCAUAGUUCCUCCAACCUAUCGAUUCAAUUUCAUAUCAAUUCAUGCAUUCACAUUCCAUAUACUCAUCAAUAGGACAUUGAAGCAUUUUCAUAAAUCAAUUUAUUUUCGUUACAAUCAAACGACUAAACGGCCUUUCACCCAUCCUACGUUAAAUUUUAUGUACGUGACUUCAAGUAUGGUUGUCACAUAGGUUCAAACUUACCGAGCUCAACACCAAGUAUAAGCAUAGCACCUAUUAGCCAUGUACUCAAGACACUUACCCGAUCCGCUGUCCGCGAUCGACUCAAUAGUGUCGCACACAUAGUGUCCAUAAUGAUUCACGAAUGCAUAUUGAGUCCGCACACUCAGUGCUAUAUAAUCAACUCGCACACUUAGUGCUACGUAAUCAAAUCGCACACUUAGUGCUACAUAGUCAAACUCGCACACUUAGUGCCGCAUGGUCAAUUCGCACACUUAGUGCAUCAUAUUCAUUUCGCACACUUAGUGCAACAUAGUCAAAUCGCACACUUAGUGCUGUACAAUUUAAUCCCACGCACUUAGCGCCAAUCUCAUGGUCAUAAAUGGUUAUACCCGCACGUUUAGUGCCGAGAUCAACAACUCAGUACAUCUUACCUCUUUUCUUUUCAUUCAACAAUUUCAUCAUCACAUACGUACAUGCAUAUAUAUAUAUGUAUAUUUAUUCAUUCCAUUCAGCAUCAAUACAUAAACAUUAAGACCAUUUGAAAUAAUACCAACUACAUGCUUAAUGACUUACCUUGUGUUGGGUAAGACGGUUCCAACUCGACUACUCAGUGAUCUUUUCUUUGCCUUUAUCGGAUCUAGUUCCCUUUUGCUCUUGAGCUUAAGUUCAACAAAAUUUAAAAUAGUCAUUAAUCGACUAUUCAAGUAUUACUUUCAGAAUAAUAUAUAUAUUGAUUUGACCUUCACACACAUAGAUUAUAGUAAGCUUUAUAAUAGUCAAUAAAUAACUCAUUGGCAAAUUUUCAUUAAUGUUUACAACAAAAUCACAUAUUCACUACGAGCUGUUUUCCUGAGUAGUAGUCGCUAAAUUGUUUAUAACUGGAGCUACAAAACUCCAAAUCACUAGUCGUUAAUUUUCCCUGAAUAUAGACUCGUAUAUCUUCCAUCCAUAAAAUUUUCAGAAUUUUUGGCUUGGCCAAUCAAUACCAGAUUUUUCUUAAAUUUUCCCCUGUUUCACUGUUUGACUAUUCUGACCACUCUUCACUACGAAUCAAAUUUCUCAUUUUACAGAAUUCAAAAUGUGUUGUAUUUGAUCUCAUUUGAAACUAGACUCAUUAAGGAGUCUAAGCAUAUAAAUUUUAUCUUAUAAUCAUUUUUGUACAAUUUAUAAUGAUUUCCUAAAAACAAAACAGGGAAUCUAGUAGUCAUUUUGACUCAGCCCCACAAUACUUCAAAUAUCUCAAGAUCGGUAACUCUUUUGUUUUUAUAGUUUCUUUUAUAAGAAAAUAGGCUCUUCAAGAUUUAAUGGCAUAAUUCACUCAGCUUCUAAUUCAACUCCUACAAAUUAUGGCGAUUUUCCAAAAUCACCUUACUGCUGCUGUCCCCAAAUAGAUUAUUACCAAAUCAAAUACUAACAUUAGCAUUUCACCUUAAUAGCUAGCUUACCAAGCCUUAAUUUAACAUAUUAAUCUUUAACAUAUCUUUCACUUUUCAUCAACAACUAUCAAAAAGCUCAAGCACUCAUCAAUGGCAAAACACAAAAUCAUCAUCAAUCCAUAAAAUUGAACCAUGGGUUUUUAGAACUCAAGUCAACUACUAAAACAUGCAUGCAUCUCAAGAACAACAUCAAACAUACCUUAGUCUAGCAAACCACCAUAGCCGAUUUUCUCAAGCUCUUCCCCUUCCUUUCUUUCCUCUAUUCGGCCAAAGGUGUUCAAGAAUGAACACAUUUUUUUUUUGUUUUCUUUCCUCAACUCACGGCAACAAGGGGGGUAUGGAUGAGACCAUUUUUUUUUUCAUCACCCUUCCUUUUCAUUGUUUAAUUACCAUGCUCUUUAUUUUAUUUUUCUUAGCAUACAUCACUAGCAUAACAUGUUGGUGACAUGUUUCCACCCAUAGCAUGGCCAGCCACUAUGCUUUAAUUUGGCUAAUUUGACAUGCAAGGACAAACACUUUCCCACAUAUAUUAAUGGGCCACUUGAACACUUGCCUAGCAUAUUUCUAAAUUGUCUCACAUAAGUCCCUACUAAUAAAUUCCACAUACACUGACCAAAUUAAAGUAUGGAACUAUCACACAAGCAUUUACGCACAUCAUAAACACAGGAUAUAAUCUUUAAUUAUUUAUAAGACUCGGUUUUGUGGUCCCGAAACCACUUCCCGACUAGGGUCAAUUUUGGGCUGUUACAAAACGCUUGUAAAAACUUACAUGGCCAAGAAAAGAAAGGAUUUCCCUUACAAUCGUGGGGUAUGGAAGUGAGUUAAUAACAUCAGGUUUGACCUUAUCAACCGUAAUCUCUUCAACAGGGACAACAUGACCUGAAUUGAAUCCCUUAUCAACCAUAAAAUGACAUUUUUCAUAGUUUAGAAUGAGAUUAAAUUAUAGACAUCUUUCCAAAAUCUUACUGAGGUUUGAUAGACAUUCAUUGAAAGAAUCACCAUACACCGUGAAGUCAUCCAUAAAUACAUAAAUUAUUUUCUCGACAUAGUUUGAAAAUAUGCUUACCAUACACCUCUAAAAUGUGGCCAAUAUGGAAAAAAGGACAUGCAAACAUCUUCUUUUCUUGGUCUAUAGGUAAAUGUGCCAAAAGGACAUGUGAAUGUCUUCUUUUCUUAGUCUUCCAGUGCUACUAGAAUUUGGAAGAAACUUGAAUAGUCACCAAGACAGCAAUAGUGAGAUUUACUGGCUAAGCAUUCGAGCAUUUAGCCAAUGAAAGGAAGUGGAAAUUGGCUUUUCAAGUUAAAACAUUUAACUUCUUGUAGUUUAUAUAGACUUUCCACUCGUUUUAGACCCGAGAGGGAACCAAUUCAGAAAGUUAGGAAUUGAGCAUCAAUUAAUCUCUGGAAUGAUUUCUGACCACUAAAACCUGGUCAAUGAAGGGUGAAAACUCAAGACAUCAACAUAAAUUAUAUGAAUGUUUCAGACUUAAUAGAUAUGGACACUUUUACUUGGAAAUCUGAAGUAUUGAGGGCUUUAUUUGAUGACAAACAAGUGAGAAGGAUAUUGGCAAUCCCAUUGGCUAGUAGUGCACAGACGAAUGAAGUAGUGUGGCAUAAAGGCAACACUAGCGUCUAUAAAGCUAAAAGAGGAUACAAGUGGCUAGUUACAGAGGAAUUGGAUUUGCUAGGAUAUGAUCACACAACACAUUCUACAGUACUAAAAGCUUUCUAUAGUUGUAGAAUUUAAAUAUCCCAUGCAAAAUCAGGAUUGCAAUGUGGAAAAUUGCCAAUGGGUAUUUUCCUACGCUACAAAUGUUAAAAAAAACGAUAGCAAUAGAAAGCCUUUUUCCUAUCUACCAAACUGAGGAGGAAUCAGUAGAGCACCUGUUUCAGGAAUGUUAGUUCACGUAACAAAUCCUGUAGAGGAUUGGUGUGGUGUUCUCAACCACAAAUGGAAAGCAAAAUUGGAAACUUUGGUUGGUAGAAGAGUUUAUAAACAACAGCUGCUCUAUGUGCAAAACAAUAGCUAUUAGCUAUUGGGCAUUAUGGUACAAUCGAAACAAGGUAAAUUAUGAGGGGGCAAGGAAACAAAUGCAUGAAGUACUAGCUUUUAUCAAUGCUCAUAUUUUAGAGAUGAAAAAAUUAGAAGAUAUAACAGUACCAAUGUAAAACCCUCGAGUUAGUAAAUGGAAGCCACUAGAAGGUGAUAGUGUUAAAGCUCAUUUCAUCAACAGUUAAAUAAAUCAGUCUAGGUGAUUUUAAUUAGAAACAGGGAGGGCCUAGUUAUGGCAACGUGUACUUACCUGAAUGAGCGUGUUAAAAUCAACCAUGGAAAAAGCGCGAGCAUGUUUGAAACCUGUAAUUUUCGUGAAGGAACUAGGGUUUAGAAGGAUUUUGGUAGAAGGGGACAUCUUAACUGUUUUGAAGAGAGUAAGGACCGUAGAGGAGGAUAAAUCAAAUAUCAGUAAUCUAGUCAAGGAAGUAAAAGAAAGGAUUUGUAGGUUUGAAAAAAAUAGAAUUUCGAAACGUACCUUAGAAAGCUAAUGAAGUUUGGCAGAGGAAGGUAGGCGUUAUGAAAACCCCAA